GGACUACUGGGGUAUCUAAUCCUGUUUGCUCCCCUUGCUUUCGUGCCUCAGCGUCCAGGGUAGGCUAGAAAACCGCUUUCGCCACAGGUGUUCUUCCACAUAUCUACGCAUUUCACCGCUACACGUGGAAUUCCGUUUUCUCCGCCAUCCUGCUAGAUAUUCAGUUUCAGAUGCAGCUCCGGGGUUGAGCCCCGGAAUUUCACGUCUGACUUAAUUAUCCGCCUACGCACCCUUUACGCCCAGUAAUUCCGAUUAACGCUUGCACCCUCCGUAUUACCGCGGCGGCUGGCAC
rnacentral:rRNA from 1 species